UUGAUACCGCAAUACCAUCCCGUCACCCACACGAGGGUAGUGGCCCGGAGGACGCACCGGUUAGUCCUUCUGUUGCAUCGAUCGAGGGUUCUCCCCGAACACCUUCCCCGGAAGUUCAGGACGAGCGAUUAUGGUUACUUGCUGAUAUCCCGAG